GACUUUUUAAAAAUUCCCCUUUAUAAUCAAUAUUUUACUUUUGUGUUUAUAGGUACAAUUAGUAUUUUUUUUCUUCACUUUUAUCAUGUUAUUUAUUUAUUUAUUUAAUGUUUGUUUGUAGCUGUCAUUACCAAAAUAGUCAUUAUUCUAACAUUUUAAAGAAAUAAAUAAUUUUAUUGUUGUUAUUAUUAUUAUUAUUAUUAUUAUUAUUAUUAUAAACAUAAUUUGUAUAGGUUUUAUCAGUUGCCUGCUAUCUAACCUUCUUGUCAGCAAAUCCGAGGCUAAUACAACUUUUCUUCAAAAAGGUGUAAAUCUUUAUUGCAUCACACACAAUAUCAAAAAUCCACACAAUACUAAAUCAUCACAUCAAAAUCCUCUUUAAGGUUGAUCUUUAUUCCAGAACGUGUGAGAUGUUUUAACAUUGAUGACGUUUAAAAUGGACUUUCAGUUGUCAAAAGAUUGAAGAACAUUAAAUACCUGGCUUUGUCCAUCUUUGAGAUGGAGCAAUAAAAUGUCCUGUUUGAUUCUUUCCUGUGACAGCUCCUCAUGAAUAUGAAACUGUAUCAUAAUUGUAACGAGUGCUGAUAAUGAACUGUCUUUAACAGUGUGUCUAUUGGGAUCAGAUACGUCCUGGCAGAAAGUGAGGCCUACGCUGCACUUUUUCAUACCAGUCAUGCCUACGUGAUCCCUGCAUUUACAUGGACGCCCUCCUUCCGUAUUCUUCUGGCCCAGAUCAUCAUUCAGCCCAUCAUGUCACUGCAGAUGCUCCUCAAAGGAAUUCUGCUAGUCAUUACCUCAGGUGGGAUUGUCAACUUCAUGCCUUUUUUAUUUUCAGAAAUCUCCCAUCUUAAAACACAGGUAAUAUUUUAAUUGAUAUCAUAAUAAACCUUUUUGUGUGUGUGUGUGUCAUGAGGAUUCUACAUAGUAAUAAAGUAUUUUGGACAGGUUUUAUGGUUCAGAAGACCUGUACUAGGAGGACUUGCUACAUGGACACUCUUAAUAUAUUAUGGUAAGUUUUGCUUUUUUGAUUCUAAAAAUAUAAGCUUUUUAAUAAUAAAUAUGCUAUUUAAAGAAGUGGUUCAUCCAGAAUUAUAACUGUCUUCAUUGGCAUCUGGUUCCAUAAAGAAACUAAUGUUCAUGGAACCUUUUCAUUCAACAAAUGGAUCUUUAAAAUAAACAAAAAAAAAAAAAAUUCAAAUCUUCGGAAAAGAAAAAAAAUGGUUCUUUUAAGAACAUUUCACUGAAAGGUUCUCUGGACCAAAAAGUUUUCAUGGCAUCAGUUUGAAAGCCCCUUUUUGUAACAUUUAUUUUUAAGACUGCAUAUAAAUACCAAAAAAGCAGGCCAUAUGCAUGCUUGUGUGGGUUUUUCUGGGGUGAACUAUCUCCAUUAAUGCUUUUCUAAGAUUAUGCACCUUCAGCUACAGCAGAAGAAGCCAGCUAGGUUAUCAUUUGUUACAAAUUUGUGCCCUUCAGUUUAAUUUAAAUGCAAGACUACUGUCAAAGUCAAAGUUAACAAUACAAAGCCCUCCCUGUUCAUUUGUCAAAGCAAAAGCACUUACCGUUUUUAAAAUGACCCAGAAAGAGCUGAACCUAACGACUUCCAUCUCAAGUACAUGCAGACGGGAGAUAGACGGAGACAUCUGCGGUCCGUCUCCCUCCUGAGCUGCCCGCUUGUCGUCCGUCCCUGAUGUCUCUCUGAUUUUAGCACACCCUGAAAAACUCUCCAACACACUGACGUUUCAUCUAAUCAUCUGUAAAGAAGUUAUUGAGUUACCAAUCAGCACUAUGUUACUCAGGAGACCCAAAGCAAUUAUGUUGGAGCAGAUGAGAUGAAAGGAGAUG
ensembl:lncRNA